rnacentral:rRNA from 1 species
GAUGAACGCUGGCGGCGUGCCUAAUACAUGCAAGUCGAGCGAACAGACGAGGAGCUUGCUCCUCUGACGUUAGCGGCGGACGGGUGAGUAACACGUGGAUAACCUACCUAUAAGACUGGGAUAACUUCGGGAAACCGGAGCUAAUACCGGAUAAUAUAUUGAACCGCAUGGUUCAAUAGUGAAAGACGGUUUUGCUGUCACUUAUAGAUGGUUCCGCGCCGCAUUAGCUAGUUGGUAAGGUAACGGCUUACCAAGGCAACGAUGCGUAGCCGACCUGAGAGGAUGAUCGGCCACACUGGAACUGAGACACGGUCCAGACUCCUACGGGAGGCAGCAGUAGGGAAUCUUCCGCAAUGGGCGAAAGCCUGAUGGAGCAACGCCGCGUGAGUGAUGAAGGUCUUCGGAUCGUAAAACUCUGUUAUUAGGGAAGAACAAAUGUGUAAGUAACUAUGCACGUCUUGACGGUACCUAAACAGAAAGCCACGGCUAACUACGUG